rnacentral:rRNA from 1 species
UACGGAGGGUGCGAGCGUUAUCCGGAAUCACUGGGCGUAAAGGGCGCGUAGGCGGUUUGUUAAGUCUGAUGUUAAAGACUGGGGCUCAACCCCGGCAUGGCGUUGGAUACUGGCAGGCUUGACGGUUGGAGAGGCGAGUGGAAUUGCCAGUGUAGCGGUGGAAUGCGUAGAUACUGGUAGGAACACCUAUUGCGAAGGCAGCUCGCUGGACAAUUCGUGACGCUGAGGCGCGAAAGUGUGGGGAGCAAACCGG